rnacentral:lncRNA from 1 species
GACUUCAACUGAUUUCGAUUCUUCUACCUUGUUAAACUAGGAAACAUCUCAUAUCAGUAGUUAAAAGGUAUUUGUACCUGUUGGAUAAAAUAAUUAAAUAUCUAAAUAAAUAGUUCGGCAAAAUCACAUAGAUUUUUACAUACCUUUUUUGUUGCGGAAUGUAUUACGAUUAUCAGGAUCGAAUCUCGUCUUGUUUUACAAACUCGUUGAUCCGCCAAUGUCCUGUCUCAAUUUGUUGUACGU